AGCCCCGAUAUAGAGCAGACUCUCAGCUUGCAGAUAUAUAUAAUGAUCAGGGGUGCGUGUGUGUGUGUGUGCGUGUGUGUGCGCCUGUGUGUGUGUGUCUUAAACAGGGGGAUUCGAGGUUAGAAACAGAUAUGAGAGAGACAGAGAGGGGGAGAGACAGAGAGGGAGAGAGAGGGAGACUGUUAGCAAUUUUCAUUCAAGCUGACAGUCUGGCAUGUGCUGAAUGGCUCUCUCUCUCUCUCUCUCUCUCUCUCUCAGUUAACAGCGUGCACCGAGGUAGAGAGACUGACUGAGAGGGAAGGAAGGAGAGGGGGAAGGAGAGGGAGAGGAGAAAGAGAGAGGUUAGAGCAAAGGAGAAAGAGGAUAGAGGGAGAGGAGGGGAGAGUAAGAGGAGAAAGAGAGGAGGGAGAGUAAGAGGAGGAAGAGAGGAUAGAGGGAGAGUGGAGAAAGAUUAUAAAGGAGAGAGGAAGAAAAGACUGAAAUAGAGGAGAAAGGGGUUAGAGAGAAGAGAGGUAGAAUAAAGGCAAGAGAGGGGAAGGAGAGGAAGCGAGUGGAGGAGAAAGGGAGGAGAGUUAAAAGAGAAGAGGGAAUGAGGGAGAGGAGUUAGAGGGAAGGACAGAGAGAGAGAGAGAGAGAGAGAGAGAGAGAGAGAGAGAGAGAGAGAGAGAGAGAGAGAGAGAGAGAGAGAGAGAUGAUCCAGAGGUCGAGUCGGGGUCUGGUUUGCCUGCCUCUCUGCUGCAUGGAAGCAGGACCCUGACUGCGUGUGACUGAGAGAGCGUCUCCGUCAGGAACCAGGUAAAGCUGCACUGAGCUGGAGACCGGAGACAGACUGCAAAACAAACGAGCCAACAGGGAGUUCAGGGUUCAGACUGCCAGCUCGCUCUUUAUUUGUUUUUUAUCAAGGUUUUGGCUUUUUACACUGCAGAGAUUAGAAACUAAGCAGGGGAGCUGAGUGAGAGACGAGACCGAGAGAGAGGAGAGAUGAGAGAGGAGAGAGGAGA